rnacentral:rRNA from 1 species
UGGAGCAUGUGGUUUAAGUUCGUAAGCAACGCGAAGAACCUUACCAGGUCUUGACAUCCCGAUGCUAUUUCUAGAGAUAGAAAGUUACUUCGGUACAUCGGUGACAGGUGGUGCAUGGUUGUCGUCAGCUCGUGUCGUGAGAUGUUGGGUUAAGUCCCGCAACGAGCGCAACCCCUAUUGUUAGUUGCCAUCAUUCAGUUGGGCACUCUAGCGAGACUGCCGGUAAUAAACCGGAGAAAGGUGGGAUGACGUCAAAUCAUCAUGCCCCUUAUGGCCUGGGCUACACACGUGCUACAAUGGUUGGUACAACGAGUUGCGAGCCGGUGACGGCGAGCUAAUCUCUUAAAGCCAAUCUCAGUUCGGAUUGUAGGCUGCAACUCGCCUACAUGAAGUCGGAAUCGCUAGUAAUCGCGGAUCAGCACGCCGCGGUGAAUACGUUCCCGGGCCUU